CGCCUUUUCUUUAUUGAAAACGGAUGCUUAUCGGUCGCAGAGUCGGCUAGCAAACACACACAUACACACAACGUUAUAAUAAUAUAAUAAAAUACAACAAUAUACGCCCGACGACGACGUGGUCGUGCCGCUCCGAUAUUUGCAUUUCGCAUUGCGUCAGCGCACUUAAAAAACGGUACCCACAGUUACCUUUAUAUUAUAUUAUACACACACACACACACACACACAUACACACAUAUAUAUUGUAAUAAUAUAUAAUAUCGAAUCGGGUCCGACCCACCAUGCGUGCGCGUUCGCCGUUUGCGGGCAGAUGACGA